rnacentral:rRNA from 1 species
ACCAGACUCCUACGGGAGGCAGCAGUGGGGGAUAUUGCACAAUGGGGGAAACCCUGAUGCAGCGACGCCGCGUGGGUGAAGAAGUAUUUCGGUAUGUAAGGCCCUAUCAGCAGGGAAGAAAGAAGACGGUACCUGACUAAGAAGCCCCGGCUAACUACGUGCCAGCAGCCGCGGUAAUACGUAGGGGGCGAGCGUUAUCCGGAUUCACUGGGUGUAAAGGGAGCGUAGACGGCCGUGCAAGCCAGGAGUGAAAGCCCGGGGCCCAACCCCGGGACUGCUCUUGGAACUGUGCGGCUGGAGUGCGGGAGGGGCAGGCGGAAUUCCUGGUGUAGCGGUGAAAUGCGUAGAUAUCAGGAGGAACACCGGCGGCGAAGGCGGCCUGCUGGACCGCGACUGACGUUGAGGCUCGAAAGCGUGGGGAGCGAACAGGAUUAGAUACCCCUGUAU